CCCCGGUAAACGGCGGCCGUAACUAUAACGGUCCUAAGGUAGCGAAAUUCCUUGUCGGGUAAGUUCCGACCUGCACGAAUGGCGUAAUGAUGGCCAGGCUGUCUCCACCCGAGACUCAGUGAAAUUGAACUCGCUGUGAAGAUGCAGUGUACCCGCGGCAAGACGGAAAGACCCCGUGAACCUUUACUAUAGCUUGACACUGAACAUUGAGCCUUGAUGUGUAGGAUAGGUGGGAGGCUUUGAAGUGUGGACGCCAGUCUGCAUGGAGCCGACCUUGAAAUACCACCCUUUAAUGUUUGAUGUUCUAACGUGGACCCGUAAUCCGGGUUGCGGACAGUGUCUGGUGGGUAGUUUGACUGGGGCGGUCUCCUCCUAAAGAGUAACGGAGGAGCACGAAGGUUGGCUAAUCCUGGUCGGACAUCAGGAGGUUAGUGCAAUGGCAUAAGCCAGCUUGACUGCGAGCGUGACGGCGCGAGCAGGUGCGAAAGCAGGUCAUAGUGAUCCGGUGGUUCUGAAUGGAAGGGCCAUCGCUCAACGGAUAAAAGGUACUCCGGGGAUAACAGGCUGAUACCGCCCAAGAGUUCAUAUCGACGGCGGUGUUUGGCACCUCGAUGUCGGCUCAUCACAUCCUGGGGCUGAAGUAGGUCCCAAGGGUAUGGCUGUUCGCCAUUUAAAGUGGUACGCGAGCUGGGUUUAGAACGUCGUGAGACAGUUCGGUCCCUAUCUGCCGUGGGCGCUGGAGAACUGAGGGGGGCUGCUCCUAGUACGAGAGGACCGGAGUGGACGCAUCACUGGUGUUCGGGUUGUCAUGCCAAUGGCACUGCCCGGUAGCUAAAUGCGGAAGAGAUAAGUGCUGAAAGCAUCUAAGCACGAAACUUGCCCCGAGAUGAGUUCUCCCUGAGACUUAGAGUCUCCUGAAGGAACGUUGAAGACGACGACGUUGAUAGGCCGGGUGUGUAAGCGCAGCGAUGCGUUGAGCUAACCGGUACUAAUGAACCGUGAGGCUUAACCUUACAACGC
rnacentral:rRNA from 2 species